rnacentral:lncRNA from 1 species
GAUGAGUAAAAACAAGAAAUUGGUGCAAGGUUUGAAAGGCAGAAAGGAGGCAGCAGCUGUGACUGGAGAGCGCUACAGUGUAAGGUGGUGAGAGACAGCUGCAGAGGCGGUGGUCGGUUGGCUUUCAUCUUCCGUCUUUCCUGCUGCAUGCCUGGUGCUUCUUCCUGCCAGCUUUACUGACCAACAGCAACUCCAACCCCAUUACCGAUGCUCGGCUGCAAGCUCAGAGAAUGAAUGGGUUCACACAACAACCCUGUCAAAGAGGUACUAUGAUCUACAUUUCACAAACCAGAAGAUAAUUAUUAAGUAACUUCUCGGAGAUCACAGUGGAGGAACUAAGAUUCAAAUUGUCUUCUGACCAGAGCUGGGCUCUGAAACCACUCCAAGAAUUGAUCAUCAGCCUUAAACAAUCAGUCUUCUUUCCUUGUAAUAAACUGAGUUACUCAUCUAAGAAUGUCAACUUUGUCUUACUACCACUUGACUCAGUUAUUUUUUUC